CUCCAACUUUAUUGUUUAGCCUGGAUUGCUCCUGCAUGCCUGCUGGGGUGUCACAGCACAGAAGACAGGAGAAGAUGAUGUUUUGGGAAACAGCGUGCUGCCUUUGCCUUUGGAGAACGAACCCAGAUACACAGCGGAGUUGAGUUCAGUACUUACACUCACCUAGUGAGCCAGGCUUUGGGUCCAGUGCUUGGAGAGGGUGCUGAGGGGCGAGACGCAGAUUCCAGGAACCUGGCCAAGUGGGAAGUGGCACAAGGGCUCACAACCGAGCCGUUCCCCUGUGCUAUCUUAUUGAACGUCUCCAUGAAUCACCCAUGGGGCAGGCAGACUCAGCCGUGCUCUGGAGGGGUAGGAGACGGAGGCUGCCGGGGCACUGUCACCUGGCACCUGGAGUCACCUACAGGACCCAAAUUCUGUGGGAUUCAAGGUCAGCCUGGGUGCGUGGCAAUAAGGCUGUAAGGAGAAACAUGAGGUGGCCGGAGACGGAGCAUCAGAGACAAGAACUGGAUGGGUCGAGAAGCCUGCCGGCUCGGAGCCCUCUGUUUGCAGGAUUGGUAGCUGCCGUGAGACGGUUUCUGCCCACACAGAGGAAAACAGGCUUCCAGAGUGUGUAAUCAACACAGUCUGCGUGAGACGGGAAAGCUAGUCCUCUGGUGACGUGGGAGCAUGGCCGACAGAUCAGGGAAGCCCCUCAUCUGCUGCAGGAAAUAGUGAAAUCAUUCCAGUUUAUUGCUGCUCCUGCAUCUAUGUUCUGUGCCAUGUGAUUUGGAAGCUUUUCCUCUAAAAAGGUGGCUGUAGUCCCGCCCUUCACCUUGGCUUCGGGCCCACCGACUGGUUAACCAAUGGGCUGUUGAGGGGGAUGAUGUAACUAAAGGCUUGGAAGGUGCCCACCUGAUCGGGCUUGCUCUCUUGUGCCUCUGCCCUCAUUGCCGUGCCAGGAACAUGCCCAGAUUGGUGCCCUGGCCCCAGGGGGAGGAUGAGCGACAGACAGAGCAGGACCAGAACGCCCCAGUCGAGCCCAGCCAAGAUCAGCCGACUCUUAGCUGAUCCAGA